GAGGAGGUGGCGGUGCUGGUGCAGCGGGUUGUGAAGGACAUCACUAACGCCUUCAGGAGGAACCCACACAUGUGAUGAUUGUAAAACAGUUAAGAAGCCGUUGGAUGUUUUGCUCCCUUGUGGCACACAAUUGGAGACGUGCAACUGUGCCACAUUAAAAACAAAACACUGCUGGCCUCAAAACACACCUGCCACCUCUGACAGCAUCCACUUCCCUCCCUCUUAUGACUGCUGCCUUUUUCAAAAUGAGAGUGUUUGGAAUGAUUUCCUGGCAGUAUCCAUAGUGGUUGCUGAGCCUUCUAAAGAAUGCUUUGAUGCCUUGCUGUAUAUCAGUCUUUCGAUUUCUUUUUGAGAAUGGGAGCCUUAGUGCAAAGAUGAAAUUGGCCUGAUCCCAUGUCCUGAAGCUAGGUAUAACCGGAGUCCCAUAGUCCUGGUUGAAAACAAACUGGGUGUGGAGAGCUGGUGUGUCAAGUUCCUUUUACCAUAUGUCCACAACAAGCUCCUUUUGUACAGAACAAGAAAGCAAUGGCUGAACAGAGAUGAAUUGAUAGAUGUCACAUGUACCCUGCUGCUUCUAAACCCAGACUUUACC
rnacentral:lncRNA from 1 species